rnacentral:rRNA from 1 species
UAGGGAAUAUUGGACAAUGGGGGCAACCCUGAUCCAGCCAUGCCGCGUGAGUGAAGAAGGCCCUCGGGCUGUAAAGCUCUUUUGUCCGGAAAGAAAAGCUUCGGGUUAAUACCCCGGGGUUCUGACGGUACCGGAAGAAUAAGCACCGGCUAACUUCGUGCCAGCAGCCGCGGUAAUACGAAGGGUGCAAGCGUUACUCGGAAUUACUGGGCGUAAAGCGUGCGUAGGUGGUUGUUUAAGUCUGAUGUGAAAGCCCUGGGCUCAACCUGGGAAUGGCAUUGGAAACUGGGCAGCUAGAGUGCGGUAGAGGGUAGUGGAAUUCCCGGUGUAGCAGUGAAAUGCGUAGAGAUCGGGAGGAACAUCUGUGGCGAAGGCGACUGCCUGGACCAGCACUGACACUGAGGCACGAAAGCGUGGGGAGCAAACA